rnacentral:lncRNA from 1 species
UUUAUACUCACUUGUCCAAAUGACUAGAAAAAACACUCUACAGCCUUCUUGGUGUUUCACUCGUCUGAAAAUAAAGGAACUUCUCUAUUUUCCCAGGGGUACAGGAAGAAGAACUUACUGAAGAAGAAAGUUGAAGAACUGUGCUCGGAGCAUGAAAGUUUUCUUCUGUCUUUGGAAACUUGUCUGCAAACAGCUUGAAGGAGAUGCACCCCAAGGGCUAGCCGUCAAAGGCGAUGUCGAAGAACACAGUGGGGUUGACCAUGACUGAUAGUACAGGGCUCCCAGCAGCGGCAUCUGCAAAGCCAAAGCAGUUAUUUUAAAAACAAAGACCUGCUAGUUUUUGCAAAGCAAGUUUAUGCUGAUUGCUAUCAACUAGAGCUUACAACUUGUUUCUUUAUUGUUUUGUUUGGUAAGUGGGUCUUGCCUCAAUUAUGAUUCUGUAUCUUUGUGCCAGGUUGGGAUCAAGGAAAACCAUGCUUUGUUUCUAGCUGUGUGUGCUCUUUAUCUCUUUGUACUUCUGUUUCCUCAUCCAUAAAAACAUUUCAACUUUUCAUGGCGGUUAACCAAUUUCAAACAUCUCUCAGGGCUCAGACUAAAGGAAUGAUACACACUUUAAAUUAUUUGUAUGGGCUUUGCCAUUCGGCACUCUUUAAUUUUAGCAAUUUUCAUGAGCACUUAAAUGUAAUAAUGCAUUUCAUGUAAUAAUAACACUUAAUUAUUAUUAUCUAUUGUUUAUCCAAUGAUCUCAUGGUAGCUUAUAAACACUAAUUAAUUGAAGAUUUACAAAACGCUGUGAGGUUCAAGUACAAUGGCCAUGUUACAUUUACCCACUUAUUUCUCUAAAUGCUGCUUUGAAGUCUUUAAAUAUUUAAUUAGUGAUUAUAACUCAAGCUGCUAUUUGGGAAACCUAAAGUAGACACAUUUUGAAUCUUUUUGUGUGUGUGUGGUUUUCAAAUAAAGUUAGUAAUGAUUUCUGGAUACAAAAAAACCCAGAAAUUUUACUAAGUAAUUUUGACUUAGGGUUGAAACUACAUUCUUAGAAAUAUUGAGAUGAGAGAGAAAGCUAUGCUGACAGUCUGCUGAAAACGAUAAUAGUGAAAUAGCUCAUUAUUCCACUACAGCAUUCUCCACAGCGGUCGGGGAUGCACUGACUUCAUAAAGAUUUUAUUAUGAGCCUAUUACCUAUUUUUCACACUUUUCUCUGAUUAUCUUUUUUGACUUUUACCUCAAAUUUUAAGAAUAGACUGUUUUAUAAUGGGAAAAAUCUAUGGGCUGGUAAUCCUGAGGUCUAGGCUCUUCUACAUCUGUGAUUUAAACCAUUUAUUUCACUUUGUUAAUAUGAAGUUUUUUUCUAUAAAAUUGAGGCAAAAUAAUACAUACUCUACUAUCUCAACAUUGUAGCCAUUAUAAAGUGAGAUAAUAUGUAUAGUUCUUUCUCUGGGUCCCUACUUGGUUCAUAUUCAAUCAACAAAUAUUUAUUUAAUGCUUAUUAUGUGCCAGUCUCUGUUCAAAGGGCUUGAAAUAUAGCAGUAAAUACAUAAAUAAAUGAAAGAAGGAAUGAAUGAAUAACUUGUUCUCAUGAAGCUUAUAAUCCAGUGGGUAGAGGGAGAUAAAUAAGUAAAAAUACAUAAUGUAUUAGAUGGUGCUGUGGUUUGAAUGUUUGUCCCUUCCAAAACUCAUGUUGAAAUUUAACUGCCAUUGUAACAGUAUUAAGAGGUGACCCCUUUAAGAGGUUGAUUAGGCCAUGAGGACUCUGCCCUCAUGGGUGGGAUUUAUGACUUUAUAAAAGGGUAAAUUGGGCCCCCUUUUGUCUCUUCAUUCUGCCUUCUGCCAUGUGAAGACAAAGUGUUCCUCCCCUCCAGAGGAGGCAUCAUUUAAGGCACCAUCUUGGAAUCAGAAUUGCCAAACCUGCUGGCACCUUGAUAUUAGAGUUCCCAGCCUCCAGAACUGUGAGCCAAUAAAUUUAUGUUCAUUAUACAUUACCCAGUCUGUGGCAUUUUGUUAUAAUAGCACAAAUGAACUAAGAAAUAAGGUGAUAAAUAUUAUGGAAAAUUCUGAUUCAAUAGAGGUUCUACCACUUAUGAGCUAUGUAGCCUUAAAAAUACCUAUACCUCAGUUUUCUAAGCUGUGAUAUGGGAAAAAUUAUACUACUAACAUGUCAGAGUUUGUAUCUAUCUAAUCACAAAUAGUCCAGUUUGCUAUUCUAGUAAGAUUUAGUGAAUUGCAAUCAAUGUAUAGUCACUAUGAUAACAAGAAAGUAAAGGGAAUUGCUAUGACGUGCUGGUCUUCUCAGAAAUAAGAUUUCAACCCAGGCAGCCCGAUUUAUGGUUUCUGCACUUAACUACUGGCCUACAUUACUUCCCACCAAUAAUUACAGUUAGAGCUUCACAUGCAUAAUCUCAUUUAAUCUACAUAAGAACCUUAUAAAAUAAGAAACAUUAAUGUCCCCACUUCACAGGCUCCUCCUUUGAGCUGCCGAGGCACCGUCACCAUCCUUCUUCAGAGAUCGUCCCAGCUCUGGAGGGCCUCUCCAAGUUUCAGGUGCUACUCUAACCUUUUAUCUUUGUGGUUCUUUUAUCACUGAGGUGGUAGGGCUUCACGCAGGUGCAAGCUAUGUGUUAUUUUAGUAUCCUCUUCCCAUUUUUCAAGAUAUUCUGUUCAAUGGGCUUAGACAAAGCUAUGUGUUACUUCAGUGUCCUCAUUUUUCAAUUUGCCAAUACUAUUUGAUCAGUUCCUUUUAAUAAAA